AUUAAACGCUGGCGGCAUGCUUUACACAUGCAAGUCGAACGGCAGCGCGGGCUUCGGCCUGGCGGCGAGUGGCGAACGGGUGAGUAAUGCAUCGGAACGUGCCCAGUAGUGGGGGAUAGCCCGGCGAAAGCCGGAUUAAUACCGCAUACGACCUGAGGGUGAAAGCGGGGGACCGAAAGGCCUCGCGCUAUUGGAGCGGCCGAUGUCGGAUUAGCUAGUUGGUGGGGUAAAGGCUUACCAAGGCGACGAUCCGUAGCUGGUCUGAGAGGACGACCAGCCACACUGGGACUGAGACACGGCCCAGACUCCUACGGGAGGCAGCAGUGGGGAAUUUUGGACAAUGGGGGCAACCCUGAUCCAGCCAUGCCGCGUGCGGGAAGAAGGCCUUCGGGUUGUAAACCGCUUUUGUUCGGGAAGAAAUCCUCUGGGCUAAUACCCCGGGGGGAUGACGGUACCGGAAGAAUAAGCACCGGCUAACUACGU
rnacentral:rRNA from 1 species